rnacentral:rRNA from 1 species
CUACAGAGGGUGCAAGCGUUAUUCGGAAUUACUGGGCGUAAAGCGCGCGUAGGCGGAUGAUUAAGUCAGUUGCGAAAGCCCUGGGCUCAACCUAGGAACUGCAUCUGAUACUGGUCAUCUAGAGUUUAAGAGGGGGAAGUGGAAUUCCAGGUGUAGCAGUGAAAUGCGUAGAUAUCUGGAGGAACAUCAGUGGCGAAGGCGACUUCCUGGCUUAGAACUGACGCUGAGGUGCGAAAGCGUGGGUAGCGAACGGGAUUAGAAACCCGUGUAGUCC